CGUUUUCCGCGUUGCUUCUCACAACUCACCAUUAGAAUCCAGAAGUAAGAGAACCCAGGGAAGCGUAAGGAAGAUGAAUAGGACAAAGAUUCUAAGAAGGUGGGAAGGAAGAAGUCUGCAGUCUAUUUCAGAAAAGGUAGUGUGAAGGACCAUGUGCCAUGUUGGGCCUGCCUGAAUAACUGCCAGACCCUACAGGACUAACCAGCUCGGGGAAUCUCUACCUUUGGAGAACCAGGAGGCCACCAUGACAACUCUGAGUUCAGUAGACUCCUAGGAGAGCUGUGAUCCAAUUGCCAGGAAGCCAGGAUCAGAAAGUUCUUGCCAGCACUGCUACCAUUGCCUCCUACUCUCACAAAGAUCAAGACUGCAUGCUAGAGUGAUGCUGUGGAAAAACCAUUUCCAUGACCUUGCUGGGCAGCAGCAGUGGGAAGGUGGCCUCCUCUUUACAUUUGUCCUCCUGAUAUUCUACCAGUGCAUCUAAUUAGAACUGGAACGCUAGUUGAGGGAGUCUGGGAAAUGAAGACUAGCUUUCCAUCUUUUGCUGUGUGCCAGUUGACCAUAUCUAACAUCACUGUCUUCUUUCUUAGGGUAACCACUUCACUCCUACCUUUUCGCCUUCCUAAAGAACCACUGUGAGACCACUCUUUUCCUGUCACUCCCCUACCUCACCAUGUAUGCUUCCACACCCACGUUGUUUUCUUUUUUCUUUUCUUUCUUUUUUUUUUUUUUUUUUUUUUUUGCUUCUCCUUUCCACCUGGCCUAUCCUUCAAGGGUCAGGUUAACAUGUUACCCCCACAGUGGAAGCUUCUCUGACUUAUUUCUUCAGCAAACUCAAUUGACCCUUUUUCUGGGGUCCUACAACAUUUUGUAAAAAUCACUGCUAUAGUACAUAUAAUUGACAUCAUAAGUUGUUGUUUUUCUUUCUGCCAGACUGUGAGCCUUUCAAAGGCAGGUACUAUGUUUUAGUUUUCUGUUCUCAAUGUCUAGUCCAGGGUCUGGCUCAGAGUGAAUAAAUGUUGAUGGAGUGAAUAAUAAAUGAUGAAAA